rnacentral:lncRNA from 1 species
AGACAUAGCAACGAGAGAUGUUUAGUUGUGUGUUAACUAAAGCUAGGUUGACACAAUCAGAGUACACUCGGAUCGAGUUCACUCGGAGAUGAACUCGGUCCGAGUGUACUCGGACAGAGUUUUAAGUUCGUUUUACACGUUCCGAGUGUACUCGGUCUGUAGUCUGAGGUUAAAUGGCGGAUCUCGUGCUCAAAGGGAUAGAUGUUGUUGCUGAUAUGCUGUUGCAGGAGCUGGACAGUCAUAUUAAUAAUAAUCAGAAGAGACGAAAAAAGAGGAAAGUAUGGACUCGAGAAUGGAUGGUACGGGUCGAAUGGAUUCUCAGGCGUGGGCAAUUAGGUGCUUCUUCCAAUUUUCUGCGUGAGGUUGAAAGUGAAGAUAAGAAUACAUUUAAAAACCACCUACGAUUGACCC